UAAGACUUCUGGGAGUUGAAG
rnacentral:miRNA from 1 species